GGUGCCUGCGAUCCCCAAAACCCCAAAGGGCGUUUUUUACAGUGCUCUUUUAGCUCUGCUGACCGCGGAUGGCUUAAGUGUUAACAGCUCAGUGGGCCCUUUGCCUUUUCUCAUGAGUCGGCUGCCCUGUGCCAGCAAGGGCAAAGGGCCAGUGUAACAGCCUUUUGUAUCUGCACUCGUGGCUCCUGAGCUCCUGUUCGGCACACAGGAAAAAUGAGGUCGCACCAACAAACUGAAGGAUGGUAAAUGUUGAGGAUUUUAUUGCCAAUGAAAGCGGCUGUCACUGGGAGCUGAAAAGGUAAUGGAAAGCUGAAAAGCGGAUAAGGGAGAUGUUUCCUAUUAUCCUUGAUAAUGUGCCAUGAACAUAUGAAAAAACAUAGAAACAUGAAGAAAACAAGAAGACAAAAAUCACUAACAUCUGGUUGGCUGUAUAGAAACAAAGCUGAUUCUGCUUGCAAAUGGAUCUUACAGACGUUGUCACAGAGACAAGAAAAGCAUAUAAAAAAAUAAAUAAAGAUGAGCUCCUUUCAAGGUGACUGACUAGAAGCAGCUGGUGUGUGCUGCUCUCACAAAGAGAAGAAAGAGUGGUGAGUGGACCAUCCAGGUGGACACAUUGGGAUUCAUCAAGGAAACAAUACACAGAAAACAGAAGAAUGAGACAGGACAAUCAUUCACCCAGAAGUGGCAUAGAGCCGGGAGAUGGCCCUCACCAUGGUUAGUAAGUGAGAGUCCCCAGGGAGUCACAUUUCUGCCACAGACCUUUGCAACCCUGGGCCCAGGCGAUCCCCCAUGACACCCGUGCCCCACCAGGGCCUCUGGACUGACAUAGACAGCUACAUGGAGUGUGGGCAGAACUGCCACUCAGGCACUCAUGAAAUCCUUGGAGCUUUUCAUCCCCAGGCACCCUGGUACCAAUGGCUGCAGCUGCGGCAAUGGGGGAGGACAGGCUCUCUUGCAUGUCCUCAGAAUAGGAACACAAUCCAUGGGGCUAAGCAGUGGGUGGACUGUGGGGCUCUUCUACACAGCCCGUUGCCAGACUGGCCUGGGAUCCUAGCAUGGUCACAAAAGUCCCACCUGGGCUCUUGAGGAACAGAUCUGUACUUCCCUGGCAUGGAACUCCUGGAGGGGAUGGGCAGGCUGCUGUUUUUGCUGCUCCACAGCCCUCACUCCUGUUGCCCUCAGUCUUGGGAGUGAGCACAGUGAUUGGGGACUAACAUAGACCCCCAGCACAGUGUACAGACUUGCAGAAAAGCAGCCAGACUCUUUUCCACAUGGGUCCUCACCCCUGCUACUCUUCACUGGGCAGCACCUCUUGACCUUGGCCCCCAGCACAACCAACCCGCCCCCACAUGAACGCUUUGUCAGUGAUGGCUCUGUGUUUCUCUGAGGAGAAAAAUCCAAAAGACAAUCCAUAAGCCUUCUGCUAUUGCAGCUGCAGUGGUAUGGCCCUUACUACCUUCAGGCUGGGGAAAGAACGAAGGACUUGGUCCUUACACUGGCCCCUCCAGCACACCAUCGCCACCAUAUGGAGAAGAGCCCAGUCUCUCUUCCCCGUAAGCCCCCACUCACCACUGUUCACCAGGCAAGGCCCCUAGUUGGGGACAGCAGAGCAGCUGUCCUACCCCCGGAUGAGAAUUCCCACUGCUAUUGGCUCUAUAUUUUCCUGAGGUGGGCCUCCCAGAAGCAAUUGACAUCCCCUCUGUCACUGUCAUGGCAGCAGUUCUGCCCUUACUGCACUCAGACUGGGGAAAGAA
rnacentral:lncRNA from 1 species